rnacentral:rRNA from 1 species
UGGGGAAUAUUGGACAAUGGGGGAAACCCUGAUCCAGCCAUGCCGCGUGAGUGAUGAAGGCCUUAGGGUUGUAAAGCUCUUUCGCUGGGGAAGAUAAUGACGGUACCCAGUAAAGAAGCCCCGGCUAACUUCGUGCCAGCAGCCGCGGUAAUACGAAGGGGGCUAGCGUUGUUCGGAAUUACUGGGCGUAAAGCGCGCGUAGGCGGACAAUUAAGUCAGGGGUGAAAUCCCGGGGCUCAACCCCGGAACUGCCUCUGAUACUGGUUGUCUUGAGUUCGAGAGAGGUGAGUGGAAUUCCGAGUGUAGAGGUGAAAUUCGUAGAUAUUCGGAGGAACACCAGUGGCGAAGGCGGCUCACUGGCUCGAUACUGACGCUGAGGUGCGAAAGUGUGGGGAGCAAACAGGAUUAGAUACCCCCGUAGUCC